AGUGAACGCUGGCGGUAGGCCUAACACAUGCAAGUCGAACGGCAGCACAGUAAGAGCUUGCUCUUACGGGUGGCGAGUGGCGGACGGGUGAGGAAUACAUCGGAAUCUACUUUUUCGUGGGUGAUAACGGAGGGAAACUUACGCUAAUACCGCAUACUACCUACGGGUGAAAGCAGGGGAUCUUCGGACCUUUCGCGAUUGAAUGAGCCGAUGUCGGAUUAGCUAGUUGGCGGGGUAAAGGCCCACCAAGGCGACGAUCCGUAGCUGGUCUGAGAGGAUGAUCAGCCACACUGGAACUGAGACACGGUCCAGACUCCUACGGGAGGCAGCAGUGGGGAAUAUUGGACAAUGGGCGCAAGCCUGAUCCAGCCAUACCGCGUGGGUGAAGAAGGCCUUCGGGUUGUAAAGCCCUUUUGUUGGGAAAGAAAAGCAGCAGGUUAAUACCCCGCUGUUCUGACGGUACCCAAAGAAUAAGCACCGGCUAACUUCGUG
rnacentral:rRNA from 1 species